GGGGGGAGGGAGAGGAGGGGUGAGCGGGCUGGGUUGGGGCUGGAGGGAGGAGACAUUGAUUGUAAACAUGAGAUUCACAGCAAGGCUUACAAUCCCUGCAUAGUAUACCUUUAUAGGGUUUUUUUAUUUUAUUUUUUUGCUCUGUCCAAACAUGGGGAACACAUCAGGAAAACAUUCGGUGAGCAUCGGCCACAGUGACUACGGUCUCUGACCAAAUAUGAACGAGUAAGGAGGAAGCAACCCUGAGAUGGACUUGUAGAUGAUGCUGUACCAGUGGAUAUGCCUACAUACGUACAGAGAAGGCCACUCAGCUCUGGCAUACAGGGUACUGAGCUGUGUAAUAAUACCAGUAAUAAACUGGAAGCAUUACUCAAAUACAGUAACUGUAGCCUCUCUUAGGCUAAUCAGGAAAAAAAAGCUGUUUUUUUCACGAUUACGGCAAAAUCAUUGCCGUACACUAACGUACCUGGGAGUUGUUUGAUUAACAAGGGGGUAGUCUGUUUGAUCUGAAAGUCUGCACAAAUAUCUGUGAUUAUAACUGGUGGGUCCUUUCAAUGGGUUUUCCCUAAAAGCUUGCUUUCCGAAACAAAAGCCUGAGUGAAUAAGGAACACUUCAGGAGUGCGGGGCUUGAUAUGGUCAAUUUUGCCCCAAGAGGACACUUAAGCUCACCCAAGCAGGAAUGACUUUUGAUGUAUGGACAAAAAAUACAUUUGAACAGAUUGGAUCCAUUUUUUAAAUGAGCCUUGUGCUUACUGUACUGUGGGUGACCAGUGGACUAGGGACAUAGGAGUGCUUCCAGGUAAUCAAGUCAAAUAAUAUCUUUCUGUUUGUGCUCCCACCUCUUUAAAGGUUCAAGUUGUGUAGGCUACUUUUCUCCCAAUUUCACAUUAGGUAGGCUAACCAUGGUGCCCAAAGUUGUCUCCAGUCAAGGUUGUCAGAUGCCUCAUUCUCUUAUCAUUGAGUUAAAAUUCCAUAUUUGUAGCCGUUAAACUUUGUAUGUAAAGGGGGGAAAAGUUUUAUUUAAGUUCACUUUAGCUAGUUAGUGAGCAUCCCUCCUGUUCUGACUAUUAAUGAACACGUUUGGAGCCAGGGGUCUCAUCUAAUCCAAAUGUCAACAGCAGGGGCCCCAGUUUGCCGUCCAGGGUUAUAUUAAUGAUGUAACAAAUAAGGAAAAUAUUAUUCCAUAAUGUUAUUGCUCUCAGCAUAAAUGAGAGAAGCAUGUGCUGAUGUGCUGUCAGUGGAAGUGAGCAGCACUCAUAACGUGGCAGAGCUAUGCAAUGCUGGGUAGCUAGCUAACAAUGUCGUUGAACAACGUCAUAUUUACAUUUAUCAUUUACUUAAUCUUUCAGACAAAAUCUAUUUGCUAAUCUUUGCUCCCCGUGCACACAUUAAAAGAAUGAGCAAAUGGCAACAUUAAAGAACGUCUUUUUAGUUCAAAGUCAAGUCAUUCAAGGCCAUUUAACAAAGGUGUUUAUAACUUUAUUCUCUUAUGCAAUAUUGACAUUCAAAUUAUAUUGGAGUGUUUGAUGCAUACGUGUCGAGCAAAAGUCAUGAACGGGGAACCCAAUGCAUUUCAUCACGGAUUUAUUGAUUUUCUUAAAAAGUGACAACGGCUGACUGCUGUGGUGUUUCUACUGUUUAACUACUUUUUUUACUAGGCAACUGUAGCUAUAUUGCAAACACCAUGUUUCUACAUUGAUGUUAACUCUAUCCUCUACCGACAUACUUAGGUCUGUCGUGUCUACAACACCCCCUAAAAAUACUUAAAUUUAAAAAUAUGACAAACACAUUCAUAACUAGGAGUAUGUGAAAAAUAAAAUACAUUUACAUAUGGGCCUUUGCAUUUCGCACACUAAACAUCACAGAAUACAAGUUGACUUCCAUGGUGCUGUCUUUUAUAUAUCGUCAAAAAAUAAGCAAACUCAUCGUAGCCAUGGUUAGUACUUUUUUUUGUAAAAGUCCGUAAUCUAUAUGUCCAUUCUGCGGAAAACUAUUCAAUUAAAUAAUUUAUGGUCACUUCUUUGACACUACUGUUAUUUUCUGAUAAGCAAAGAUUGAUUGGAAAUAUUUCUGUAUGCUAUUGUCCAAUGUCAAGUGUCUAUUUGUUACAACUGUUAGCCAGUUUUGGCACUCAAAUUGUACAGUCCUUGUAAGCAUAUCAAAGUGCCUUAUAAACACAAAAGGUGGAUCUCAGAAGAGAAAAGGACCAGGAGAGAAAGGUAGACAAGUUGCCAUAGUUUGACGACUUUUAAAAAAAGCAAUUGCCAAACCUGCAACUCAACCAUGUCAAAAAGUCCGUCUGACUACGGGUAUGUCCACAACCUUAGGCGUCACUAGGGGGUUGUGAGGGGUGUGGACCGCACCGGGUGACAAUGAAAUGACUGGCAAUACAUUUUUUGUGCAGUGAUUUGUGUAGCGAUGGGUUGAAACAGCAAAUUCUCUGAUGCAGUUUUCUGCUGGUUGAUUUAAUUAGUGUUAUGAAUGUGACGAGAAGUGCAUUGUCGUUUGAAUGCACAACACGCAAUGUGUUUCUGCUGUGUGCUGGUCACUAAAUUCAAAACAGUCCAAUAUGCAGGAGGACAUGUUGAAAUCUUCAAUGAAGUGGCAUGUUACUGCCAUAAAUGAGGGUGUAGCCCUUGAUGUCCAACAAUCUGUGGUUAAGCAAACUGCUGACAAUUUAGACACCCUUUCCUUCAGUGAUGCUGCUUCUCUCUGAUAAAUGUUUGAAACUGUCUGGGAUACUGUCUUCCUUGAUGGAAGAGUAUAGGAAGGGUUGAGAGCAUUGCUGUAUCGCUUGAAUUGUUUGUCUUCCACAAUAUUGAAUGGCUGGAAGUCAGUAGCAAUCAUUUUAGCAAGCUCUUCAUCUAUCUUCCCCUGUCUCAAUGGGUUUAUGACAUGUACUGCACAAUUGUGGCGAGAUGUCUGUCUUGUUUUAGGUCUUGUGCCAGUGGUUCUAUGAGAGCUUGGUGCCUGGCCAGGCAAUGAUUUAGGCCUAGUGCUAGUUUCAGAGGUAGAUGCAUGGGUGUGAGUGACAGUGGAUGACUGACUUGUACCUGAUGUGGUAGUGGUUUCAGCAGAAGCACUGGCGCCGUCGUUAUCUUGGUCAUCAUUAUCGUUGGAACGUUGUGGUCUCACCUCGGCCACUUGCACCGUUGGAUGCUGUGUUUUUAAGUGGUGGUGAAGAUUGUUUGUUGACCCUGCUUUAAAUGAUAUUUUUGCUUUGCAAAUAUUGCACUCCGCUUUAUCGUUGCUUUUAUUGCUGAAGUGCAUCCAAAUGCUGCUGCGUUUUCGAGUUUGGCUCAUUUUUUUUUCCAAACAGAUCUACCUCUUGUGGCUGGCUGAUUCUCACUGUUCACGUAAAGGGGAGUGGAUUUAGGACAGGCAGUGAAAUUUGGGCACAACAAUACGACUCUCACCAAGUACGACUCCCUUUGUUCGUACCAAAGAGCUGUUGAAAAGAAUCGGAUCGUUCAUGAACGUAACAUCACUAACAUGUAGCCAAUGGGCAACAUUGCAUCAAUCACCUUGCAACAAUAUUGCCCAGGAUCUCCAAGCAAGCAAGGAUGCAGAGCUACACUAACCACUGCCUCUGCCGCACCAUGAUCCAGAAACUACCUGGUGCGGGUCUUGAGGCGAGAGAUUUAUGUCCGUAAUCAGUCACAAGUGCGAGAGCCCUUUCCAGAGCUGUUAUUGACCGAAACUCGGGGACUGGAGAAGUUGGAGCAGCGCUCACAACACCGAGCAAUGCGCCUCCUCCAAAUUACAAAAAGAAUAGACCUACACAACGGGAUCCCGCUAAUGUUGGACAGUUUUUCAGUGGUUGCACAAUGGGAAAGUACAAAUAAACAUCAAUAAGGCAUAAACUCCAGUUAGCUCACUAGCUAGCGGAACAAAAGAGAGUUUACUAACGCUGCAUAGCAACCACCUGGCACUACGUACGGGCAGCCGGGAACUACUUUCUUGUAAAUUAUUCUUGUAAUGUUAAUAAAAACGGUUUUAAUUGGACUGUAUCUAUAUUAUCAUAUUUGAUAACAGUUUUAUAAACGGUGUGUUUAGUAUUCUUGAGUAUAAAGCAAUACAGCAACGUCAGUGUUUUUAGUUCUAAAAAUGAGUAAGAAAAUUUUAAGGGGAAGUUUAAUUAAUUUAAUAACCUAUUAUACUGAUGAAUAGGAUUGCCCUCCCCACACAAUUGUUCUAGGUACUUGGUCAUCCUGCACAAGGCUGGUGGACAGAGUCUAUGCACACACAGAAAAAAACCUUUUGUCUUAAGUUAUCUUAUUCUUGAAAGAGACUGACAAAACAUAAGCUUAAAUAAGACAAUGCUGUUGUACGUCUUUGCAUACAAUAGAUUCAAGAAAGUACAUAAGCGUAACAAUUAUGUUUUAACCAUUUACCACCAACAUCAAUGUUGUACUGUUUUCAACUGACCUUUGGUAAUUAGCAAGGAAAUAUAAAAUUUAUAUAGAAAUUCCACAUACCCAAAGAGGUGUUGACUAAUGGUAGUGAAGCUAAUAAAAAGAUGAAGUUGUACACUGUUUUAACAGUUAAUUAACUCAACAGACAGAAAUUGGAUACACUAGUUGUCAGGAGUCGCAUACACUACCACCCAACAGUUACCAGGUUUUUCUUUUUCCCUUUUUAACAGGAACCCACCCACCACAAGGAGACCAGGAUGAGCACAGGCAAGAGCACAAACCUCUCAUCACAGCACACACACGUAAGCUACUUCAGGUUACCCCGCACACGUGCUCACAUUCAGCACACCAUAUAGUGAUUCCCACUCUGGCUCCCCUGUACUCAGUCUCGCUUCAGGAGGGGAGACCCCACUCAGCUGUCUAAGGGGGGGGGGGGGGAGUCACCAACGCUGAGGGGUUCUCACUUACACGCCUGCUUGCACCCACACAAACACCACAGGACACACCCUGAACAGUAACAAAAGAAAUAAGGGUGGGAUUUAGUCCGGGGUAUGCCUCUAUGCCGGGCCUUUCAACAUCCCAAAAUAAAAAAACCCAAACCCAAACAAAAAACACACUGCCUCCAGCCUGUCCACGCUUCUUCCUAGGCUUCGGGCCUGGUCCUGGCCGCCAAACGGGAGUCUUGCUGCAACCCCACACUGUUAGGUAGGGAGCAGGCACUGGUUCAAUUCCUGGACCGCUUCCGGGCUGUGUCUCGAACUGCACUGCUGCGCCCCGCACUCAGGCUUGGUCCCAGUCGCCGGUGCUGCCAAUCUCGAGCCUUGCUGUGAUUAUACACUGUUAGGAAGGGAGCAGGCAGUGGUUCAAUUCCUGAACCCCCGUCCAGCACGGGACUCGCGCACCCCCCACAACGUGAUUUCAAGAUUCCCAGGGUCCGGGGUACCCCCAUUGCUGCCUCUCCUCGCUUCCCCUUUCUUUCUCACGGAACCAGUGCAGCGUCUCUCCUCCUCCAGGACUGCCCUCCAGUAAGCCACCGCCAGACUUGCGACACACAAACACACUCA